CAUCGCCUGUUUAUCAAAAACAUGUCUGUUUGGAGUUUUAAAGAGUCUAACCUGCCCACUGAGUAGGAGAGUAGUUAAAGGGCCGCGGUAUUUUGACCGUGCAAAGGUAGCAUAAUCAUUAGUCUUUUAAUUGAAGGCUUGUAUGAAUGGUUGGACAAAGGGAAAGCUGUCUUUAUAAUAUUAUUUGAAUUUAACUUUUAAGUGAAAAGGCUUAAAUAAGCCAAAGGGACGAUAAGACCCUAUAAAACUUUAUACAAAAUUAAGUUUGUUUAGAUUUAGUUAUAAAGAACUGAGUUAAAAAUUGUAUUUUGUUGGGGCGACAUGGAUAUAAGUAAUUAUAAUAACUGUUUAAAUAUAAUACUAUAAAUUUAUGAGUUAAAACUUUAAAUGAUCCUUCUUAGAGAUUAAAAGAUUUAGUUACUUUAGGGAUAACAGCGUUAUUUUUUUUGAGAGCUCAUAUCGAAAAAAAAGUUUGCGACCUCGAUGUUGAAUUAAAAUAUCUAUAUAAUGUAGCUGUUAUAAAAGAAGGUCUGUUCGACCUUUAAAUUUUUACGUGAUCUGAGUUCAAAUUUUCCCU
rnacentral:rRNA from 1 species